GAUCAUGGCUCAGGAUGAACGCUAGCUACAGGCUUAACACAUGCAAGUCGAGGGGCAGCAUGAACUUAGCUUGCUAAGGUUUGAUGGCGACCGGCGCACGGGUGAGUAACACGUAUCCAACCUUCCGUUUACUCAGGGAUAGCCUUUCGAAAGAAAGAUUAAUACCUGAUAGUAUGGUGAGAUUGCAUGAUAGCACCAUUAAAGAUUUAUUGGUAAACGAUGGGGAUGCGUUCCAUUAGGUAGUAGGCGGGGUAACGGCCCACCUAGCCGACGAUGGAUAGGGGUUCUGAGAGGAAGGUCCCCCACAUUGGAACUGAGACACGGUCCAAACUCCUACGGGAGGCAGCAGUGAGGAAUAUUGGUCAAUGGGCGAGAGCCUGAACCAGCCAAGUAGCGUGAAGGAUGAAGGUCCUACGGAUUGUAAACUUCUUUUAUACGGGAAUAAAGUAUCCUACGUGUAGGAUUUUGUAUGUACCGUAUGAAUAAGCAUCGGCUAACUCCGUG
rnacentral:rRNA from 1 species